GCCCGGGAAUAUCAUGUCAACUAGGAGAUACAUUAUUUGUUUUCCUGUUUUAAUGGUUUUACACUAGUAAUUUUUUGGGGGUCCUUUAUAGAUUGAUGUUUGGUGUGAGUCGAUGUUCCAUGUUAUGUACAAUGAAUGUCGUGAUCUUCAUCAUCCUGAUGAUACAUAAGUUAAACAGGAUUAGAGACUAGCACAUAUUAAUCAAAUCCUAAUGUUCUUUGACCAAUAUCAUUAAAAGAGGGGCGAAAGAUACCAUAGAUACAUUCAAACUCAUCAAUCGAAAACAAAAUGUCAAUGCCAUGGC
rnacentral:lncRNA from 1 species